UACGAGGGGGGCGAGCGUUGUUCGGAUUCAUUGGGCGUAAAGGGCGCGUAGGCGGCGGGGUAAGUCGGGUGUGAAAUCUCAGAGCUCAACUCUGAAACUGCACUCGAUACUGCUUUGCUAGAGGACUGGAGAGGAGAUUGGAAUUCACGGUGUAGCAGUGAAAUGCGUAGAGAUCGUGAGGAAGACCAGUGGCGAAGGCGGAUCUCUGGACAGUUCCUGACGCUGAGGCGCGAAGGCCAGGGGAGCAAACGGG
rnacentral:rRNA from 1 species